UACGUAGGGUGCGAGCGUUGUUCGGAAUUACUGGGCGUAAAGGGCGCGUAGGCGGGUUUGCAAGUCGAUUGUGAAAUCCCAGGGCUUAACCCUGGAAUUGCAGUCGAAACUGCAAGUCUUGAAUGUCUGAGAGGGUGGGAGAAUUCCUGGUGUAGUAGUGAAAUACGUAGAUAUCAGGAGGAAUACCGGCGGCGAAGGCGCCUACCUGGCAGUACAUUGACGCUGAGGCGCGAAAGCGUGGGGAGCAAAC
rnacentral:rRNA from 1 species